ACACACAAAUUGAACCUAACCUAGAAGCAGCUAAGAAAGAAAGAAAAGAAGAAAGAAAGGGGAAGAGAGGAGGGGGGAUCCAUGAGAGGGAGAGCGCCAGGUAAGAGGGAGGAGCCAUCGCACCACCGCCGCGCUGCUCAGGACGCCACCUUGCCACGCGACCAGUCGCUGUCGCGUCGCUGUGCUGCACAGAGGAGGGAGAAAGUGCGAAGAACAGAGGGAAGAGAGAGGAAGAACACGUACCAGGGAGCUUAGUUGCGGGGAGAGGAGACGUGUGGCUGACCCGUCGUUGCCGUUCCGUAUAGCUCGACCAGCCACCGUCGCCGUCUCUGUCCCAAACCGUCGCCAGAUCCGCCGCUGUCACCGGGAAAGGGAGCCGAUGCAAAGAGAGCCGCGCGUGGAGGAGAGAGAGAGAUCCGAGACUGAGCUGGUUCUCCUCACUGCCGAUCUGUCCAGCUACUGUCGUACCCUCCGUCGCCGCCGCUGGUGAUGGGUGGCCGAGCCUUCGCCGUCGAGAAACGCCACCUCCGUUACCUACGACCACCGUCGGUAAGGGUUUGAGUAUUGGAUUUUGUUUCUUUCAAGUUUUGGAAACGUUACAAGCACUGCUUGUUGGUUUUAGUUGCAGCCCUCGCAAACCAGUCGCCACUGCCGCGUGAGGUGGAUGCCGAGGCCGCCAAACUAGUUCAGAGAUCGCCGCUAUUUCGUCUUCGUAUUGCAGAUUAGAAAUCGAGUGUUGCAUGUCGCAAUUGAGGCUGUUCUGCUAUUGAGAAAGCAAGCGGAGCUAAGGUUUCGGUUGCGGUUGAAUUCAGGCUGAGCAAAAAGAGUUUAGUUGACACGUUUGUUUUAUGGUUUUGCUUAUCGAGCUUUACCUUUUCAGGAACCGGAAGAAGAAGCAUUAAGAGGAGUUAUACUGCGUUUGAUUUAUAUGGUGUUGAAUUAAAUAGAUUAUUUUCUUCUCUCACCUUUUGUUAUUACAAUUUUGUAAGAGGGAUAGGAGUUGUAUGUUAUAUAUAUAUAUAUAUAUUAUAAGAUAUUAUGUAAAAAGUCUUAUAAUACUUCUUGCAAUCAGAGUGGCGCAGCCGGAUGUGUGACUUUCUGGUAGUGAGGGUGUUACAUUAUGGUAUCAGAGCUGUCCUUCCUGUAGAGCCUGAGGAAUUGACCGACUAUGCUUCAGUUGCAUACUCUGAGAGUCGGUCAUGUAGUAGGUCUUGUUGGAUCACGAGAAUUAUAGCUUUAUGCACAUGAUGGUCUAUUGAUUAAUGCUAUUAGUCUUGCAUUGCAUAAUUUCUGGAAUUAAGUUUGGCCAGCUUAACAUUAGUGAAUUAUGUAUAUGUAAGCACUAAUGAGUUAUCAUAGACGAUAUGUGGUCAUAGAUAACGCGAGUCGCGGAUUUUGGGAAUGUUAGAAACUUAGUUCUAGAGCUUAGUUUCGUCUCGACGUGUAAUCUUUAUUCGUGCCUGAUGCUAUUUUUUCUUUAUUAUUUGUAUUGGAAUCUCUAGUCUUUGAUUUCUUCUUAGAAUGUGUUUUGAAUAUUUUUCUACCAUGUCUUGUCAUUCAUAUAUAUCCUUACUUGACUAUGUUCCUAAUUGUUGCUUGAAUCUUUAAGGAACAUUCAACCGUGUUUUGAAUUCUGCGAAUAUCAUGUAUCUUGCUCCUACUUGGUAUGCUCUAAGGUUCUUGUUUGCUAUUCUUUUCUUGGAAACUGAUCGAAUUAUCUUCCAAUCCUGUUCUCUUGUUCACGUGCGCUUUCGUUUGAUUCUAACCGCAUAUGUUUGCCUAACGUUCUUGGUGUGUUUGCCUCUCUUUGUUUAAACUCUUUUCUUGAUCCAUGUAUUAUUUGGUACAACUUUGAACUUAUUUUA